UACAUGGGGUGCAAACGUUGCUCGGAAUUAUUGGGCGUAAAGCGCACGUAGGCGGUUCGUUAAGUCGGAUGUGAAAGCCCUCGGCUCAACUGAGGAAGUGCACCCGAAACUGGCGAGCUUGAGUACGGAAAGAGGAUCGCGGAAUUCCCGGUGUAGAGGUGAAAUUCGUAGAUAUCGGGAGGAACACCGGUGGCGAAGGCGGCGAUCUGGGUCGAUACUGACGCUGAGACACGAAAGCGUGGGUAGCAAACGAGG
rnacentral:rRNA from 1 species